rnacentral:lncRNA from 1 species
CCCCUGCCUCUCACACUCCUUCCCAUCCUCCCCUCCCACUCAGAAACUCUUUGUGGUCCCCGCGGAUGAGGCCCAGGCUCGAAUCCCAUAUGCCCGUGUCAACCACAACAAGUACAUGGUGACUGAACGCGCCACCUACAUCGGAACCUCCAACUGGUCUGGCAACUACUUCACGGAGACGGCGGGCACCUCGCUGCUGGUGACGCAGAAUGGGAGGGGCGGCCUGCGGAGCCAGCUGGAGGCCAUUUUCCUGAGGGACUGGGACUCCCCUUACAGCCAUGACCUUGACACCUCAGCUGACAGCGUGGGCAACGCCUGCCGCCUGCUCUGAGGCCCGAUCCAGUGGACAGGCCAAGGCCUGCUAGGCCCCCGCGGACCCAGAUGCUCUGGGUCACGGUCCCUGUCCCCGUGCCCCCGCUUCUGUCUGCCCCAUUGUGGCUCCUCAGGCUCUCUCCCCUGCUCUCCCACCUCUACCUCUGCCCCCACCGGCCUGACGCUGUGGCCCCGGGACCCAGCAGAGCUGGGGGAGGGAUCAGCCCCCAAAGAAAUGGGGGUGCAUGCUGGGCCUGGCCCCCUGGCCCACCCCCACUUUCCAGGGCAAAAAGGGCCCAGGGUUAUAAUAAGUAAAUAACUUGUCUGUACAGCCUGUGCCUGACUGAGUGGUGUGAGAUGGGGUGCAGGGGUAGGGGACAGCUGGCAUGGGCCUCUGGUGGGGACAUCUUUUUGUGCUGAGCCCUCAACAUGUCACUGGCAUGUGCUGAGCCCUCAGUGUGUGACUAGUGUGGGUUAGCAUGUACUGAGCCCUCAGCAUGUGCUGGCAUGGGUUGGCAUGUGCUGAGCCCUUAACAUGUAGUGUACAUGGGCUAACCUGUGCUGAGCAUGCAGCGUGCCACCCUGUGGCCUGGCAUGGACUUAGCACUCAUGUAGCCAGCAUGGGGUAUGUGCUGCACAGAAGCAUGUUCCCAGAUUGAUCAGCAAGGACCAAACCAUUGCCACAUCCCAAGGGUGAACAAGCAUGGCUGAGCACCAGAGUGUGCACCAAGUGUGAAUUUCGGCCUGCCAAGUGGAUUUACACCCAGCAUGUCCCAAAUGUGGGUGAGUGCAUGCCAACCCUGUAAACAUGUAGGAAGGACAGGUCAACAGACAAGGAGACCCCAGCAUCCGGCAAACUUGACUAACACAUACUGAACACAGCAUGUUCUGAGGGUGGAUUCCCAACAUGCCAAGCACAUAGCGUAUUUAGGACAUGGGUUAGUCAACCAAGCACAGCUUUUCCCUCCUAGUGUGACAGCAGCCCAGGCUCCUGCCUAAGCCAGUGGUCAACUGGGCCCAGCAUCGCAGAGCAAGUCACUGGGUGCCAGCCUGGAGCCCCCAUUCCCCCCAGGGCCAGUCCAAGCCCCAGGCAGUGAGAGCAGGCUUGAAGCAGGACUGCUGAACAGUUCUAUAUUGAAAUAGACACAGGCAGCAGGGCCAAGGGCGAGCGCAGGGCCAGCGGGGUGCAGCCCCCUUUCCUGCUGUCCUUCUGGCCAAGGAGCAUGGGCCAGACUCCAAAGCCCUGCUGUGUUUAGGAGAGGUGUGCAGGCACGCACCGCACCGCAGACGGGGAAUGAGAAUUUCUGGAUAACUAUCUUUCUGUAAGAAUAAUUUGUGGGUUCGGGAGAUGGCUCUGAGGAGCAGUUCAGGUUGGGAGGGAAUGCCAGCCCAGCUAGCGCAGCCCCCAGUGAUGGGCAGGGGUGGAAUCACCAUCAGUGGUGCCCGGUGACAUGCUGGAGGAAGCUGGUGGCCCCCCGGGGUGGACCAUGCUGGUGGGAGCGGCGGGGUGGGAGCCCUUGAGCCCGUGGGCCCCUGACGCUCUCCAGGGUGCAGUCUGGCUCACUCAGCCAUUCUCCAGGACAGCUGCUGGGGUCGAAGAGCUCAGGGUCUGGCCUCUGUGGGGGAAGAGAGAGGGGCAUCAGCCAAGCAGUGUUAGUGUAUUAGUGUCUGCUGAGCCUCUGUCACCUCCUCCUGAUGAGGGUGAGCAUGUGCUAGGGUCUUACCAGUGCUGGGCCUUUAUUGCCCCUUUGUAGUGAUGUGAUGACAGCUCACUGCAGCCUCGACCUCCCUGGCUCAAGUGAUCCUCCCACCUCAGCCUCCCGAGUAGCUGGGACUACAGGUGCAUGCCACCAAAACCAGCUAAUAUUUCUAAUUUUUUGGUGCAGACGGGAUCUCACUAUGUUGCCCAGGCUCUUUAUCAAGCUUCUUAUAAGUAGAUUACUGUGCCCUGAGUUUUUGUCACAGCCUGGAAGUAGCUGAGUAAGUGCUGAGCCUUAUCAUAUCUUGACGGUAUUAGGUGUGUGCUGAGCCUCCUAAGUCCCUAAUUGUAUCCUGAACAUGGGUGAGUGUGUGCUGAGCCUCCUCACACCCCAACUGUAUCCUGAGCAUGGGUGAGUGUGUGUUGAGCCUCCUCACACCCAAUCGUAUCCUGAGCGUGGGUGAGUGUGUGUUGAGCCUCCUCACACACUAAUCAUAUCCUGAGCACGGGUGAGUGUGUGCUGAGCCUCCUCCCACCCCAGUCGUAUCCUGAGCAUGGGUGAGUGUGUGCUGAGCCUCCUCAUACCCUAAUCAUAUCCUGAAUGUGGGUUGAAUGUGCUGAGCCUCCUCACAUCCUAAUCUUAUCCUAAGGUGGGUGAGUGUGUGCUGAGCCUCCUCACAUCCUAAUUGUAUCUUUGAAUGUGGUUGAGUGUGUGCUGAGCCUCCUCACACCCUAAUUGUAUCCUGAAUGCACCCGGCUCACCUGAGCUUCCAUGGUCAUAUUGUCAAUGUUGGGCCCAUCCUCAUCUCGCUGCAGGAUGGCCAGUGGCUCAGCAGAGGCCCCGAGAUGCUCUCCUUCCUCCCAGCUGCUGCCCCGGCAGGGCCUGUCAUCCUCAGGCGAGACCUGGCUCAGCCGGAUGAGGUUGCUGAAGUUGGAGUCGGACUUGGAACCUGCAGGUGGCUUGCGGGCCUUGUGGCGGCCUGCCAGGCGGCUGCUAUAGAAGGCCAGGAUGGGCUCAGGGCCCGAGUCGGGCAUGUGGUGACCAGUGAUGGCUGCCUUGAGGGGGGCCAUCAUGUCGGAGACCGCAUCGGUGCAGGUCUCACCCCACAGCCCAUGCCCAGCCUCCUGCAGACUCAGGUCAUCCAGCUGGUCGAUGGAUCUUUGCAUACCUGGUGCCUUCUCCUCUCGGAAGAAGGGGCUGCUGCCGGCCACACUGCCCAUACCCGCGGCCUCCUUCUCCUCAGCCAGACGGUAGUAGGGGGUCCCAUCUUCUGCGGCCACGACGGGCGUGGGGGGCUUCCCCUCCACCUGCAGCGAGAGGCGGUAGCUGCGCAGCGAGAGCUGGUAGUAGUGCGUGGUCUCGUGGGCACUGCGCAGCUGCUGCAUGGACACGAAGGGGUGGCGCAGGGCAGCACUGGGGCUGAUGCGUUCGUGUGACUCCCAGGUCAGCAUGCGCUUGAUCAGCUCCACCAUGCUCUUGAGGUCGGCGUGCUCCGCCAGUGCCUCCCGGUCAGGGAAGGUUAGCCGACUGGCCACACUGCCACCAUUCACUGUCUCAAUCUGGUCCAAGGACUUGAGCAUAUACUUGCGGCGCUCCAGUGGGCGCACCUGGCGGGGCAUGGAGAAGGGGGCAGGGUUGACCAUUGUGCAGGGCUAGGGCCCUGGGCACUCCUGCUGUGGCACCCACAUGUAGCCCCGACUUCCAGGUCUGCCCAUGAUCUGCCUUGGAGCUCUCUGGCUGCUAGGAGGGCCACCCUGGAUCCGUCCCACCCAAGCCCCUCUAAUCUAACCCAAAUCACUGGCCCAAGUUCCACCCCUUGCCCCAGACCUCCAGUCCCCCUCAGCACCAUGGGUGCAGCCCCUACCAGCAGCUAGCAGAAGGGCUGCCCGGAAUCUCUAGUCCUCCCUGGAAUCAAAUCCAGGUCCCUCUUACUGCCACAGCUCCACAUUUGAUCCCAGGCCUCCUGGUGGUCAAACCCAGACCCUUCUUGCUAUAGUAGUUUGUCACCCCCUGCUAUUAAACUGCCAUUGACUUUUAGUCUCACCUGUGGUCCCAUCCAGACCCUUCUUGCUGUGAAAUCAAGACCUAUGACCUCAAACUCCUAGUCCCCUCUGCUGUCUAACCCAGGCUCUUGCUGCACAGAUUGGAGGGGCAAAGCCAUAGAGGUAGCAGACUGGCUGCUGCCCCAAACCUCUAGAGUCACCUGAGGUCUCACUCAGAUCCUUUUUUUUUUUUUUUUGUAUGUGUGUGAGACAGAGUUUCACUCUUGUUGCCCAGGCUGGAGUGCAGUGGUGCAAUCUCGGCUCACUGCAACCUCCACCUCCCAGGUUCAAGCGAUUCUCCUGCCUCAGCCUCCUGAGCAGCUGGAAUUACAGGUGUCCACCACCAUGCCCAGCUAAUUUUUGUAUUUUUAGUAGAGAUGGGGUUUCACCAUGUUGGCCAGGCUGGUCUCGAACUCCUGACCUCAGGUGAUCCACCCACCUCGGCCUCCCAAAGUGCUGGGAUUACAGGUGUGAGCCACUGUGCCUGGCCUUAGAUCCUUUUUUUUAUUUUUUUUUAAACAGGGUCUUGCUGUGUCGCCCAGACUGGGGUGUAAUGGUGCAAUCAUAGCUCACUGCAACUGCCAACUCCUGGGUUCAAGUGAUCUUCCCACCUCAGCCUCCCAAGUAGCUUGGAACUACCGGUGUGUGCCACCAUGCCUGGCUAAAUUUUAAAAAAAUUUUUUCUAGAGACACAGUCUUGCUAUGUCGCCCACGAUGACUUCAAGUGAUCCUCCUGCCUUGGCCCCCACCAAAGUGCGUGGACUACAGGCAUAAGCCACUGCACCUGGCCUCUCUCGCAAUUCUCAUAGCCAAUCUCAGACCUCAUAUAUUCUCUGUGGUCUAAUCCCUCUUGCCACACAAGUUGCUGACCCCGGAGCUGAAGCUGGCAGAGAAGCUGCCCCAAUCGUCCUGUCACACUUAUAGUACGACCCAGAUCCCUCUUGCUAGAGCAGCCCCCACAUCUGACUUCCAAACAUCUAAUUCUCCCUGCAGUUUCUCCCCCAGAUCUAUCUUGCUGCAGUUGCUGACCAGUCCCACAUUUGAUCUCACGCAGCUCUUUCUUGCUGUGAAAAUGCCCUAGGCUGACCCCCAAGUUCCAGUCCUCAUUGAGGUUUAG